rnacentral:tRNA from 1 species
UGGUGUAAUGGUGACCACUCUGGACUUUGAAUCCAGCAAUCCGAGUUCGUAUCUCGG